rnacentral:rRNA from 1 species
UACGGGGGGGGCAAGCGUUGUUCGGAAUUACUGGGCGUAAAGGGCUUGUAGGUGGCCAACUAAGUCAGACGUGAAAUCCCUCGGCUUAACCGGGGAACUGCGUCUGAUACUGGAUGGCUGGAGUGUGGGAGAGGGAUGCGGAAUUCCAGGUGUAGCGGUGAAAUGCGUAGAUAUCUGGAGGAACACCGGUGGCGAAGGCGGCAUCCUGGACCGACACUGACGCUGAGGAGCGAAAGCCAGGGGAGCAAACGGGG